AGCAUUAGAGUCCCUUGUUCAUCUACAACAGGAUGGAUACUGUGUUUAUAGAGUUCAUUCUUGACCUUACCUGAGUGAACUGUCUGUGUGUGCUGCCCACCACCUUUUUAACCACUAGGACCACAGAGCCUAAUGACGACAACUAUACUGCUCUUACUCAUAGGACCAGAUCUGACUCCCAUGGACUUCAACAGCCAAGAUUAUUUCUCUAGGAAAAUAUGAUGCAACCAAGCAACAUGUAUGGAGCAGUCCCAUAUUACAGAACAGCAAAGAUGAACACAUCCAACUUUAUUAUUUCUUUUUCAAAAAUGACUCAUAACUAUUUGAUGUAAUGUGUCUCAUGUAAAUGUAUAAUGACCUGAAUAAAAAUAGUGAUGUGCAAU